CUGCCAGACUCCUACGGGAGGCAGCAGUGGGGAAUAUUGCGCAAUGGGGGGAACCCUGAUGCAGCGACGCCGCGUGAGUGAAGAAGUAUUUCGGUAUGUAAAGCUCUGUCAGCAGGGAAGAAGAAAGACGGUACCUGACCAAGAAGCCCCGGCUAACUACGUGCCAGCAGCCGCGGUAAUACGUAGGGGGCAAGCGUUAUCCGGAUUUACUGGGUGUAAAGGGAGCGUAGACGGAGAAGCAAGUUAGUUGUGAAAUCCCUCGGCUUAACUGAGGAACUGCAACUAAAACUACUUCCCUUGAGUACUGGAGAGGAAAGUGGAAUUCCUAGUGUAUCGGUGAAAUGCGUAGAUAUUAGGAGGAACACCAGUGGCGAAGGCGACUUUCUGGACAGUAACUGACGUUGAGGCACGAAAGUGUGGGGAGCAAACAGGCUUAGAUACCCUGGUAA
rnacentral:rRNA from 1 species